rnacentral:piRNA from 1 species
UGAGAGAGGCAAAAACACUUCCAAAUAAGGAA